UUCAACAGAUAACUAUCUGGAGUGUCGCCAGAAGCUGCCACUGGCUCAAAACCAGACUGAUUUGGCAUCAGAGGCCGAAGACCCAACAACAGACCGGAGACCCAAAAGAAAAAUCAAGCCAAGUAGACACGUCCGAAUGGACUUUGAAAGUCAAGACCCCUGCAGUCCACCAAAGAAACAGGCCUUCCAAAACCUCCCUAAGGCCCCUGCUAUCUCUGGACCGUCCAACUUCAGGCGCUUCAUAGUAGCGCAGCCCACGCAAAGUGGGUGUUAUGAGGUCCCUGUGAACAAUGAGCAGCCUCAGGGUUUUCAGCACUUAAUGACCCUGGGGUCAACCCUUCGCCAAGCAAUUGGCACGAGUUAUGGUGGAGGUGACAUGGCAGAGACAGGGUCAGAGGAGGUGAUGGUAGGGACACCUUAUCAGGGCCAGUCUGUCAGUCCAGGGACAGGGACUCAGAAGGGAGGCUGUGAUCAAAUGUGUGGAACUCUUCUGCGUGACCUGUUGGUUAACCAACAAAUCCUGAUGGACCAGCAAAAGACCAUGAUACGGAUGAUCCAAGACCUCCACAGAAACACCCAGGGAGGUCAGAGGAUGUCCACCACCUCCAGGCAUACUGCCUAUUUUCCACUAGGGGACAAACGCUCUGGAGGCCCAGGAGGGCGACCUGGCAAGCCAGUGGGACCUUCGUCAGGAAUUGGUUAUCACUCUUGGAUUGGCAGGGGGAGCUGAUGCCAAAGAUACAGUGUGGCGCAUUCUGAAACA